rfam:Aedes aegypti strain Liverpool supercont1.505 genomic scaffold, whole genome shotgun sequence.
CCUCUCAUGGUGUAGGGGUAACGCGCCCCAACUAGAGAUCGGGGAGUCGUGAGUUCGAUUCUCACUGAGAAGA